CCUACGGGAGGCAGCAGUGAGGAAUAUUGGUCAAUGGGCUUACGCCUGAACCAGCCAAGUCGCGUGAGGGAAGACUGCCCUAUGGGUUGUAAACCUCUUUUGUCAGGGAGCAACGCCGGCUACGUGUAGCCGGACUGAGAGUACCUGAAGAAAAAGCAUCGGCUAACUCCGUGCCAGCAGCCGCGGUAAUACGGAGGAUGCGAGCGUUAUCCGGAUUUAUUGGGUUUAAAGGGUGCGUAGGCGGAAUGCCAAGUCAGCGGUAAAAUCGCGGGGCUCAACCUCGCUCCGCCGUUGAAACUGGCGUUCUUGAGUGGGCGAGAAGUAUGCGGAAUGCGUGGUGUAGCGGUGAAAUGCAUAGAUAUCACGCAGAACUCCGAUUGCGAAGGCAGCUUGCUGCAGCGGAACUGACGCUGAUGCUCGAAAGCGCGGGUAGCGAACAGGAUUAAAUACCCCAGUAGUC
rnacentral:rRNA from 1 species